rnacentral:pre_miRNA from 2 species
AGGAGGCCGUACAUUGUGCAGAGCGAUGGCGGAAAGUGCUGCAUUGCGUGCGACCUCCCUA